GUGCUCACUUUGGCGGCACAUAUACUAAAACUGGAAUGAUACAGAGAAGGUUAGCAUGGUACCUGCACAAGGAUGUUUCACAAAUUUGUGAAGCAUUCCAUAUUUUU